rnacentral:rRNA from 1 species
CUUUUUUGGUUGGGUGCUCGAGUGGCGAACGGGUGAGUAUUACGUGAGUAACCUGCCCUCAACUGUGGGAUAAGCCUGGGAAACUGGGUCUAAUACUGCAUAUUCUUCUUUCACCGCAUGGUGGGGGUUGGAAAGUUUUUUCGGUUGGGGAUGGGCUCGCGGCCUAUCAGCUUGUUGGUGGGGUGAUGGCCUACCAAGGCGGUGACGGGUAGCCGGCCUGAGAGGGUGGUCGGCCACAUUGGGACUGAGAUACGGCCCAGACUCCUACGGGAGGCAGCAGUGGGGGAUAUUGCACAAUGGGCGCAAGCCUGAUGCAGCGACGCCGCGUGAGGGAUGAAGGCUUUCGGGUUGUAAACCUCUUUCGGUACAGAACAAGGCACGUUUUUUGCGUGUGGAGGGUAUGUGCAGGAAGAAGCGCCGGCUAACUACGUGCCAGCAGCCGCGGUAAUACGUAGGGCGCGAGCGUUGUCCGGAAUUAUUGGGCGUAAAGGGCUCGUAGGCGGCUUGUUGCGCCUGCUGUGAAAACGCGGGGCUUAACUCCGCGCGUGCAGUGGGUACGGGCAGGCUUGAGUGUGGUAGGGGUGACUGGAAUUCCAGGUGUAGCGGUGGAAUGCGCAGAUAUCUGGAGGAACACCGAUGGCGAAGGCAGGUCACUGGGCCAUUACUGACGCUGAGGAGCGAAAGCGUGGGUAGCGAACAGGAUUAGAUACCCUGGUAGUCCACGCUGUAAACGUUGGGAACUAGGUGUGGGGCCCUUUUCCGGGGUUCUGCGCCGUAGCUAACGCAUUAAGUUCCCCGCCUGGGGAGUACGGCCGCAAGGCUAAAACUCAAAGGAAUUGACGGGGGCCCGCACAAGCGGCGGAGCAUGCGGAUUAAUUCGAUGCAACGCGAAGAACCUUACCAAGGCUUGACAUACACCGGGAGCAUGCAGAGAUGUGUGUGCCUUUUUGGCUGGUGUACAGGUGGUGCAUGGUUGUCGUCAGCUCGUGUCGUGAGAUGUUGGGUUAAGUCCCGCAACGAGCGCAACCCUUGUCUCGUGUUGCCAGCGCGUUAUGGUGGGGACUCACGAGAGACUGCCGGGGUUAACUCGGAGGAAGGUGGGGAUGACGUCAAAUCAUCAUGCCCCUUAUGUCUUGGGCUUCACGCAUGCUACAAUGGCCGGUACAGUGGGUUGCGAUACUGUGAGGUGGAGCGAAUCUCUGAAAGCCGGUCUCAGUUCGGAUC